rnacentral:rRNA from 1 species
UGGGGAAUUUUGGACAAUGGGGGAAACCCUGAUCCAGCCAUCCCGCGUGUGCGAUGAAGGCCUUCGGGUUGUAAAGCACUUUUUGCAGGAAAGAAACGUCAUGGGUUAAUACCCCGUGAAACUGACGGUACCUGCAGAAUAAGCACGGGCUAACUACGUGCCAGCAGCCGCGGUAAUACGUAGGGUGCAAGCGUUAAUCGGAAUUACUGGGCGUAAAGCGUGCGCAGGCGGUUCGGAAAGAAAGAUGUGAAAUCCCAGAGCUCAACUUUGGAACUGCAUUUUUAACUACCGGGCUAGAGUGUGUCAGAGGGAGGGGGAAUUCCGCGUGUAGCAGUGAAAUGCGUAGAUAUGCGGAGGAACACCGAGGGCGAAGGCAGCCUCCUGGGAUAACACUGACGCUGAUGCACGAAAGCGUGGGGAGCAAACAGG